rnacentral:rRNA from 1 species
UACGUAGGGUGCGAGCGUUGUCCGGAAUUACUGGGCGUAAAGAGUUCGUAGGCGGUUUGUCGCGUCGUUCGUGAAAACUUGGGGCUUAACUCCAAGCGUGGCGGCGAUACGGGCAGACUUGAGUACUACAGGGGAGACUGGAAUUCCUGGUGUAGCGGUGAAAUGCGCAGAUAUCAGGAGGAACACCGGUGGCGAAGGCGGUCUCUGGGUAGUAACUGACGCUGAGGAACGAAAGCGUGGGUAGCGAACAGG